GUCGAACGCUCGUAGCAUACGAGAGUGGCAGAACGGGUGAGUAACGCGUGGGAACAUACCCUCCGGUUCGGAAUAGCUCAGGGAAACUUGGAUUAAUACCGGAUACGGCUGUGAGGCGAAAGAUUUAUCGCCGGAGGAUUGGCCCGCGUUCGAUUAGCUUGUUGGUGGGGUAACGGCUCACCAAGGCGAUGAUCGAUAGCUGGUCUGAGAGGAUGAUCAGCCACAUUGGGACUGAGACACGGCCCAAACUCCUACGGGAGGCAGCAGUGGGGAAUAUUGGACAAUGGGCGCAAGCCUGAUCCAGCCAUGCCGCGUGAGUGAUGACGGCCUUAGGGUUGUAAAGCUCUUUCGCUCGGGACGAUAAUGACGGUACCGAGAUAAGAAGCCCCGGCUAACUUCGUGCCAGCAGCCGCGGUAAUACGAAGGGGGCUAGCGUUGUUCGGAAUUACUGGGCGUAAAGCGCGUGUAGGCGGGUCUUUAAGUCAGGGGUGAAAUGCCAAGGCUCGACCUUGGAACUGCCUUUGAUACUGGAGAUCUUGAGUCCGGAAGAGGUGAGUGGAAUUGCGAGUGUAGAGGUGAAAUUCGUAGAUAUUCGCAAGAACACCAGUGGCGAAGGCGGCUCACUGGCCCGGAACUGACGCUGAGACGCGAAAGC
rnacentral:rRNA from 1 species